CAAUAGCGUAUAUUUAAGUUGCUGCAGUUAAAAAGCUCGUAGUUGGAUUUCGGGUGGGAAUGGCCGGUCCGCCGUUUCGGUGUGCACUUGCUACGCCCACCUUGCUGCCGGGGACGUGCUCUUGAGUUCACGCUCGGGACACGGAGUCGGCGAGGUUACUUUGAGUAAAUUAGAGUGUUCAAAGCAGGCCUACGCUCUGAAUACAUUAGCAUGGAAUAACACGAUAGGACUCUGGCCUAUCUUGUUGGUCUGUAGGACCGGAGUAAUGAUUAAGAGGGACAGUCGGGGGCAUUCGUAUUUCAUUGUCAGAGGUGAAAUUCUUAGAUUUAUGAAAGACGAACUACUGCGAAAGCAUUUGCCAAGGAUGUUUUCAUUAA
rnacentral:rRNA from 1 species